rnacentral:rRNA from 1 species
UUAAGCGACUAAGCGUACACGGUGGAUGCCCUGGCAGUCAGAGGCGAUGAAGGACGUGCUAAUCUGCGAUAAGCGUCGGUAAGGUGAUAUGAACCGUUAUAACCGGCGAUUUCCGAAUGGGGAAACCCAGUGUGUUUCGACACACUAUCAUUAACUGAAUCCAUAGGUUAAUGAGGCGAACCGGGGGAACUGAAACAUCUAAGUACCCCGAGGAAAAGAAAUCAACCGAGAUUCCCCCAGUAGCGGCGAGCGAACGGGGAGCAGCCCAGAGCCUGAAUCAGUGUGUGUGUUAGUGGAAGCGUCUGGAAAGGCGCGCGAUACAGGGUGACAGCCCCGUACACAAAAAUGCACAUGCUGUGAGCUCGAUGAGUAGGGCGGGACACGUGGUAUCCUGUCUGAAUAUGGGGGGACCAUCCUCCAAGGCUAAAUACUCCUGACUGACCGAUAGUGAACCAGUACCGUGAGGGAAAGGCGAAAAGAACCCCGGCGAGGGGAGUGAAAAAGAACCUGAAACCGUGUACGUACAAGCAGUGGGAGCCUCUUUUAUGGGGUGACUGCGUACCUUUUGUAUAAUGGGUCAGCGACUUAUAUUCUGUAGCAAGGUUAACCGAAUAGGGGAGCCGAAGGGAAACCGAGUCUUAACUGGGCGUUAAGUUGCAGGGUAUAGACCCGAAACCCGGUGAUCUAGCCAUGGGCAGGUUGAAGGUUGGGUAACACUAACUGGAGGACCGAACCGACUAAUGUUGAAAAAUUAGCGGAUGACUUGUGGCUGGGGGUGAAAGGCCAAUCAAACCGGGAGAUAGCUGGUUCUCCCCGAAAGCUAUUUAGGUAGCGCCUCGUGAAUUCAUCUCCGGGGGUAGAGCACUGUUUCGGCAAGGGGGUCAUCCCGACUUACCAACCCGAUGCAAACUGCGAAUACCGGAGAAUGUUAUCACGGGAGACACACGGCGGGUGCUAACGUCCGUCGUGAAGAGGGAAACAACCCAGACCGCCAGCUAAGGUCCCAAAGUCAUGGUUAAGUGGGAAACGAUGUGGGAAGGCCCAGACAGCCAGGAUGUUGGCUUAGAAGCAGCCAUCAUUUAAAGAAAGCGUAAUAGCUCACUGGUCGAGUCGGCCUGCGCGGAAGAUGUAACGGGGCUAAACCAUGCACCGAAGCUGCGGCAGCGACACUAUGUGUUGUUGGGUAGGGGAGCGUUCUGUAAGCCUGUGAAGGUGUACUGUGAGGUAUGCUGGAGGUAUCAGAAGUGCGAAUGCUGACAUAAGUAACGAUAAAGCGGGUGAAAAGCCCGCUCGCCGGAAGACCAAGGGUUCCUGUCCAACGUUAAUCGGGGCAGGGUGAGUCGACCCCUAAGGCGAGGCCGAAAGGCGUAGUCGAUGGGAAACAGGUUAAUAUUCCUGUACUUGGUGUUACUGCGAAGGGGGGACGGAGAAGGCUAUGUUGGCCGGGCGACGGUUGUCCCGGUUUAAGCGUGUAGGCUGGUUUUCCAGGCAAAUCCGGAAAAUCAAGGCUGAGGCGUGAUGACGAGGCACUACGGUGCUGAAGCAACAAAUGCCCUGCUUCCAGGAAAAGCCUCUAAGCAUCAGGUAACAUCAAAUCGUACCCCAAACCGACACAGGUGGUCAGGUAGAGAAUACCAAGGCGCUUGAGAGAACUCGGGUGAAGGAACUAGGCAAAAUGGUGCCGUAACUUCGGGAGAAGGCACGCUGAUAUGUAGGUGAAGUCCCUCGCGGAUGGAGCUGAAAUCAGUCGAAGAUACCAGCUGGCUGCAACUGUUUAUUAAAAACACAGCACUGUGCAAACACGAAAGUGGACGUAUACGGUGUGACGCCUGCCCGGUGCCGGAAGGUUAAUUGAUGGGGUCAGCGCAAGCGAAGCUCUUGAUCGAAGCCCCGGUAAACGGCGGCCGUAACUAUAACGGUCCUAAGGUAGCGAAAUUCCUUGUCGGGUAAGUUCCGACCUGCACGAAUGGCGUAAUGAUGGCCAGGCUGUCUCCACCCGAGACUCAGUGAAAUUGAACUCGCUGUGAAGAUGCAGUGUACCCGCGGCAAGACGGAAAGACCCCGUGAACCUUUACUAUAGCUUGACACUGAACAUUGAGCCUUGAUGUGUAGGAUAGGUGGGAGGCUUUGAAGUGUGGACGCCAGUCUGCAUGGAGCCGACCUUGAAAUACCACCCUUUAAUGUUUGAUGUUCUAACGUUGACCCGUAAUCCGGGUUGCGGACAGUGUCUGGUGGGUAGUUUGACUGGGGCGGUCUCCUCCUAAAGAGUAACGGAGGAGCACGAAGGUUGGCUAAUCCUGGUCGGACAUCAGGAGGUUAGUGCAAUGGCAUAAGCCAGCUUGACUGCGAGCGUGACGGCGCGAGCAGGUGCGAAAGCAGGUCAUAGUGAUCCGGUGGUUCUGAAUGGAAGGGCCAUCGCUCAACGGAUAAAAGGUACUCCGGGGAUAACAGGCUGAUACCGCCCAAGAGUUCAUAUCGACGGCGGUGUUUGGCACCUCGAUGUCGGCUCAUCACAUCCUGGGGCUGAAGUAGGUCCCAAGGGUAUGGCUGUUCGCCAUUUAAAGUGGUACGCGAGCUGGGUUUAGAACGUCGUGAGACAGUUCGGUCCCUAUCUGCCGUGGGCGCUGGAGAACUGAGGGGGGCUGCUCCUAGUACGAGAGGACCGGAGUGGACGCAUCACUGGUGUUCGGGUUGUCAUGCCAAUGGCACUGCCCGGUAGCUAAAUGCGGAAGAGAUAAGUGCUGAAAGCAUCUAAGCACGAAACUUGCCCCGAGAUGAGUUCUCCCUGACUCCUUGAGAGUCCUGAAGGAACGUUGAAGACGACGACGUUGAUAGGCCGGGUGUGUAAGCGCAGCGAUGCGUUGAGCUAACCGGUACUAAUGAACCGUGAGGCUUAACCUU